GAUCGAGCUAUGGUUAAUGGCUCCUCAUGAAAUCGAAGCAUCUGCACCCUUCUCGGAUCAGUCCGCAAUGGCCACAUCCAUUCAAGAUGCCAAUGAAGGCAGGUCCCCUGUAGAGUGGAAGUCCUGCUCUUGAGCGAGUCUGUUUGAGAAGCAAAUGCAGGAUGGGGACUGGUUAUGGCGAAUGCCAGAAUGCUACAUUACAACACAAUCAAGUAUCUUCGAGUUCCAGAUGAGGUAUAUGUUCAAGCUCCAUUGAAACUGUUGUGUUUCAACUAUUAAUAUAGUGAAAUGGUAGACUAGGUUUUAUGUAGCCAAACACAAGUACUUAGGGUGAGCUGUUAGCAUAGAAGUUCUAUCAAAAUGAAUAUUAUGUGGUAUUACUAAAUUUUUUGGCAGAUUGAGCUGUUGAAAUCGCAGCUGUGCUUGUUACUAAAAGUUUUUUGUUUCAUUUAGUUGAGUUGAAUCAGGGCUUUAUCUUUCAUUCUCUUUUUUUCCGUUGUCGCGACUCCUGACAAGUACGAAGGUUUUCCGAGACCGGAAUUUCCGCUGGCAAGUUUUUCACUGUGUAAUCCAUCAAAACUAAUUCCCUCACUGGAACACAAACCCUUCCAUCUUUGAUCCUCUGGUUCAAUCUUCUCUGCGAUUCAGUUUGUGUUCGAGCUAUGGUUCAAUCAAGUAAUUGCUCCUCAUGAAAUUGAAGUGUCGUUGCCCUUCUUGGAUCAGGCCGCAAUGGCUACGUGCAUUCAAGAUGCCAAUGAAGGCAGGUCCCAAGGAGAGUUGAAGUCAUGAUCUUGAGUGAGUCUGUUUGAGAAGCAAAGUGAGCUUAAUCUGUUGCAUUUCCAUUUCAUCCUUCAGUUUCUGAGUGUCUUUUUUUUUGGGGGGGGGGGGGAGGUUGGUGGGGUUGACGAAUCCUUUCUUCUCUUUCAUGGAGAAAGUCUGAGGGAUCUUCCUUACCUGCAUUUCUCAUUGGCAGUCCAUAUAUAUCCUCAAAGUCUCCUCUUUGCCUAUGGGGACAAUAUACUCACAGUUGUCCACCUUGAUCAAGAAUGCAUUAGAUCCCUAUGUUCUGCGCAAUCUGAACAUGGAGAAUGCCUAACUUUUAUUACUGUACUGUGUGUUGUCUGAGUAAUUGGCUCCAGUUUGUGGGCAGAUUUGGCAUUUGUAGGGUACUUCUGGCCUCCAAGGUCUUAGGGAUCUUCUAUUGAUUGCGAGGUGUAACUUUGUUAAACAGAACAUGUAGAAUCUCGUGAAACCUGUUGCCCUUGCUGUCUUUGGAUGCUCUGGGAGUGAUCCAGCAAAGGCCUUUUGAGGCCAAAUCAUCCACAAAACCUUAAUCCAAUUGAGAAAAAUGUUAAUGAUAUUGUUAUAUGUACACUUGUUCAAUUUGGAUUUUUUUGCAUUAGUAUUCCCAGUAUUGGCAGUGGGUCUCUGUCUCUCUCUCACUCUAAUGCAUGCACACACACCCAGAUACACAACCCAUCCUUCCAGAAUGAUGCAUUUUAGCCAAAUCAUACAAUGGUGUGCUCCUGGAGCCAGUUUUCCUGUUGGCCUUAGCAAGUGGCUUUGGUGGAGGUACCCUUGUGAUCUUUCCCAAGCACUUGACUGGGUGCAAACAGGAAGCUUCUGGUGAAGUGCACCUCUCUGAUGAUAACAUUGAGAUUGGUUCCUUGCUGACUGGGCAUUUGUUUUUUUGGCUUCAUAAUGUGGUUAACCAUAUCCCCUUAGUUUUUGUGUAUGGAACAAUUUUUGGCUGUUCUUGUUAGUGGAUUCAUGAAUUUAGUAUAUAAGGCGCAACAACUAUCAAAUACUAACUGUUUUCUUAUAAUUUUAUCUUUAAAGUUCAGUAAGAAACAGCAAGCGGCUCAGGUAUAUGCUUGGUUUUUGCAGAUUUUAUUUUUUUCCUUUUUUCCCUAUAUAUGCUGAGAUGGUUUGUUAGUUUGAUGGUAGAAGGCCUGGGGAGGCUAGCUUUUGAAUACCGGUAAAAUUUAGUGUAGAACUCACGCAAGGAAUGGAUCCAGAAGAAAUUUAUGUAGUCUCAGUUAAGAAUUACUUGGUUCAUGAUUUGUAUGUUGUUUACUCUUCAGUGUUCUUGGUUUGUUUUGUAUUCGAAGUUCAUUAUAGUUUAUAUGUCCAAAUUAAUGGAAAUCUUCCGUACUGUGGUUGCAUCUAUUGGCUAAUUGAUCUCUUCAGAUAGAAAGCCUCCUGGAUUAUGCCGUGGAAGGGGAGGUGGGAGGAAGGAAGCCUGUGGGAGGAUGGCAAAAGGCAUGGGGUGUGGCCAAGAUGAUGGAGGUGGUAAAGGGAGGGGUAGGGGUGGACAGGGUGGCAAGAGUGGCGCCAGCAGAGUGAGCUUUACUACUGUGCUAGAUGCAUGAAGACACCACGACACUGACUCUAUAUUCAGAAUCGAUUCAUCUGCUCAUGGAAGUUUAUGUUAUCUUCAUCUUGGGGUUGUGCCCUAUUGAUGAAGAGUUCAGGUACAGGCCAGAGUGGACUUACCUAUAGGUGGAUGUGGCCGUAGCUUAUAUGUUCCAGAAUUAUUGAACUACAUCAGGGAGCUAGUAUGCCAGUUUUCAAAUGCUUAUAGCCCCUUCAGUUACAAACCAUGAUGACUAGUGGUGGUGGAUAGGAUGACUAUUACUACUAGGUGGGAUUUUUUUU